UACGGAGGGGGCUAGCGUUGUUCGGAAUUACUGGGCGUAAAGCGCGCGUAGGCGGCUUUGUAAGUUAGAGGUGAAAGCCCGGAGCUCAAACUUCGGAAUUGCCUUUAAGACUGCAUCGCUUGAAUCAUGGAGAGGUCAGUGGAAUUCCGAGUGUAGAGGUGAAAUUCGUAGAUAUUCGGAAGAACACCAGUGGCGAAGGCGACUGACUGGACAUGUAUUGACGCUGAGGUGGCGAAAGCGUGGGGAGCAAACAGG
rnacentral:rRNA from 1 species